UUAAAAGUGUGUGUGGGCAACAUUUUAUAGCUUGUGGCAGCUUCUGCAUCUUUUUUUUUUAAGGUUACAUUUCCAUAAUCAGGUUGCCAAGGAAGCAUCACUGUAUGUAUUCUAAGCACAUAUUUGCUUCUUUUUUUAAUAUCAAGAUGUUUCGGUUAAAUAUCUACAUCAAGUUCGUCUAGACAGCCAUAUCUCCAAGGCAAGCUGUGUUUUCUAGCAGACAGACAACAUCCUGGAGGGCAUUCUACCACAGUUACAGUAGAGAUUUGGGAUAAGAAAAUAAUACAAACAGUGAAGAUUGCUUAUGUCAUUAAUAUAGCAACAACAUUCUUUGAAAAAUACUCAGCCUUGGUUUGCUUAUCAUAAAUGAAGGACAUGAGAAAAUGAACAAUACUCUCUCAAAAUAACCUAUAAAAGCAAAAUGUGAAAGAAUGCUCAGUAAAAUGUCUAUUAGGUCUUCUGUCCACAACAAAUUUGUCAUCGAAGUCUCCUCUCCACCCAGAUGACUUCACUAAGAAAUCCAUUCCCAUUCUCCACCCUCUAUCCUCCAAAUGAAAAUACUGUUUCUGCUGCAGCUAAGAAAGCUUCUCCUGUGACAAGCUCCUGUCCAAUCCAUGAGCUUUAAUAGCAAAAAGGAAAAGAGAGCUUUAGUGUUGGAAUGGUUGUCCACUGCAACUGCCCUAGCCAACAGUAGAGAUUGAAG